GCCCAGGUGGUGGAAUUGGUAGACACGCCACUUUGAGGGGGUGGUGCCGGUUACGGUGUGCAAGUUCGAUUCUUGUCCUGGGCAC
rnacentral:tRNA from 1 species